GAACGUAUGGCUUAGUGGUCAGAGCGCUUGGACGGUUUCCACUAGGCGCGCGUUCAAAUUCCGCUACGUUAA
rnacentral:tRNA from 1 species